UUAAUAGAAUUAAUUUUAUGUUUUUAUGUAUUUAUUUUAAAACUUAAAGACUAAUAAUAUAAUAUAAUUAAUUAAUGAAAUGAGGAAAUAAUAAGGCAUGUACUAUGUCCAUGCAAAUUCAUAGGGAGUGUUUGGAUGUUCAACACUCCCCAAAAUAUUUGGUUUUUGUAUAGUUGUUCACUUAUUCUAUUUUAAUGUUAGUUGUCAUAAUAUACUUUAUUAGACAGGUAUAACUGUAUAAUAUUACAUUGUGUCUGUGAAAACCCGGCUUAAGCAAAAUAAAAAUGUAAUAUUACCAAAUUAAAAUAAUUAAAAAAUUCAUGUUUGUUAAAAAAAAAAAUUCUACUUUCCAAUAACUGAUUUUAUUAAACACCCCCUAAAGGCCCAAAACUUUUUUCUGCGUACAUCACUUACUAUAAUGUGUGUACGAAUUUCAUAUUACAUGAAACGUAACAACUUCUGUUGAAAAUUUCUAUGAUGUGUACACUGCAUCACAGUGCUACCCAUCGUGAAACAGUUUUAAUUUCUGGAUUUGACAAAGUAGACCCGCACUGUUUACAGUUUGCGUAUUAAUUCAGAGAUACUUCUUUUUCAAAAAAUUUUAACAUUCUUAGCAUAAAACAUUCGUUAAAAUGUUUGAGUUUAAUAAGUUAAUUGCUGUACAAGUUUUAUUCGACAAAAAUUUGUGCCGUCACUUUCAUCCUAAUAGUGUUUUAAUCUUUAAUGUAUUUUUUUUUCAUAUCAAAAUUAUUAUUAAUGAUUAACAAAACUAUUUAUAAAUUUAUUAUCCUUUAUUAGUGACAAUUUUAUAUUUAUUAAUUAUUACAAUAUAAUAUUAUAAUGUUUGAGUGUUCGACGAUGUAGUAAUAUUAGCGUUUAUGCUGUUUACCUGUGUGGCUGUGUUAAAUCAAGGCUUGUAGAUAAUAGGUACCUAUACUUGUCUAUAUGUUAGAUUAAAAGAAGAUACGUUCUGUAAGCUGUACACGAUCUCGCAAUUCUGGUACAGUACAAAGUAUUACAAGUGUUCCCACUACUAGUGCAGUGACGGUGAUCGACAAUAUAAGUAUUCCCAAUACCAGUGAUGUGGCAAUGAUUGAUAAUGUAGACAUUCCUAGUACCACUGCCGCAGUGACAGUAAUGAAGAAUACUAGCACAAACAUGGAAAGAACUGAAGUAUCUGUGCUGCAGUGACGGCAGUAGAGGGUAUCACUGGCUUCUUAUGUACUAUCAUCAUUGUGAUGUCAGUAAAUGAUACCACUUACCCAGUAUCGAGUUACUAUACCAAGUAGCUUUGAUGGAGUAUGAUACACGCAUUCCAAUUUCCAAGUACUAGUACAGUGAUAAAAAUGAACCAUCGAACUGACCAGUACCAGUGUAAUGGACGUGAUGAACGAUAUUAUAUAGGUAAGCCUAUUCAGUUCUGGUGCAGUAGCGGCAGUGGAGUAGAUUUUCAAGACCAUUUGACGAGUAUAUAUUGAGUCCGGAUCAUGAUUAUACGUCAAACAAACAGUGAUUGUUGCAAAACCAUUCAAUAGUCAAUAAACUGUUCGUCGUAAGGCGUUUGGUAUAUUUUUUCAAGUUCUAAUGCCUACAUAUUAAAAUGUUAUUAUUAUAUUUAGUAUAACAGUAUUUAAAACACAACGGUUUUACUCAAAUGAAGUUGUCACAAUAAGAUUUACUUAGAUAAAAGACGAAAUAUGAAAAUUUUAUCAAGUAACGUGGAUAGUUCGCGUUUUACUUGACCAUUCCUCAGAUUUACUGGAUUUUGAGUUUUUCCAGUAACAUACUAAUAGAUAUACCAUCUCAAACUGUAGUAUGUGGAGAUCUAAUAUCGCAUACUUACGAAUUGUUGUACGAGGGCACUUCAUGAUAUUUAUCAAGUUAUUUAUCAAUUGCCAAUAAUCAACGUUGGGAAUACAUAUUGCAUGUUAAACCAAACAGGGAGCAGUCGGCAUAGACUUAUGAGUUUAUGGUAGUUGGCAUCAAGGGCUCAUCAAAAUGUAGUGUAAGUAUACUCAAGUAAUAUAAAUAAAAGUCAUACUGUUGAUCGUCAAUAUUUUAUCAAUGAUAAAACAUACAUUGGACAUAAUAUUUGCAAGUGUAUUGUUAUAUCUUCAACAUCUAGAACAAAGUUUAGCUAGAAAAUUUUUGGUUGUGUACAAUGUUACUUACAUUGCCUAUGAAAAUCGAGUAGUACCACAAUGCCCAGGAAGGGAAUACGUUGGCUAAUAAUUCACUUUGUCAGUAACAUAUUAUAUGCAUUAAUAUCUUCACGGAAAAAAUGACUUAAUACGAUUAAACUCGUGUUAUAACAGAUAACUUAUAAGUCAUUAUUACUAAGGAACGUGGGGCCGAAGUGUUAAUAAACUUUGUUUUCAAAUUUAAGUUCUAUAACAUGAUGUAAUUACAUACAAUUGCUGAAGUGCACUCACGGCUUCUAUACAACAGAUUGAGAGUAAUAAAUGGUAAUAUAAAAGAAUAAAUACAAAAUAUUACAAAACCAUAUUCAGGAGACCAAGGUGUAGCUAUAGAGACGUCGUAUUAUAAUUAUGUAAAUUAUCGUUAUUCCUGGAAGAAAAUAAAAUGGAUUUCCCGUCCUUGAAGAUAGGGGACGGGACUUGUGCCGUGAGGAGAAAUUAUGGAAAUCGUCUGCAAACGUUGUAGCUACUUAUAUAUUAUACAAUAAGUAUACAAGGAAUAUACAACAACUAGCACGCUUGCCCGCAAUUGUUUUUUCUCCAAUAACCAAUUUAUUUAAAAUGUGAUGAUUAAAGUUUUUAAACAUCCUUAAAGAUAUUAGUAUUUUUAAAUACUCGACAUUUAUUUGUCUUGUUGUUAUCAUUUAUGAUUACAUUUAUUUAAAUUAUAAUCUCUCUUUUUACUGUUGACUAUUUAAUGGAUAAUUUGUUUGAAAAUAAUAAUGUAUCUAAAGAGUUUAUAUCUUAUUUUAAAGAUUAGUUCUCAGAUAUCAAAUUGUUUAAAAUGAGGAUAAAAUACUUUAAUCAUGGCUUGUAAAAAAUAUAAGCUGAAUGUAAUAUUAAAUCAAGUAUUUAUUGUACUUGGACCAGUUUUAAUAAUUAUAAAUGUUUGUUAUAGAUUAGUAUUAAUAUGAUUUACAACACCAUAACCCUCGUUAUAUCUUCCAAAUGCAUUAACAUGAUCCGUUGCUAUUUAUCAAAUAAAAUCCAUUAAACAAUUCAAAUACUAAACGUUCGAGUUUUGAUUUUUAUGACAGCAUUUUCAGAAAAGUCAUCAUGACAAAUUUAUAAUAAACAUUAGAACGGAAGGGGAUUAAAAACAUCAGGAGUUUGUAUCUCCACAUGCAGACACUCCUAUUGUACGUACAAAUAAUUUCAAGAAUUUUAAAAUACGAUCUUCGAGUUUAUUUAAGAAUAUCAAAAACUAAAUUUUUAAUAGCUGCAUAGUCGGAGAAAAAAAAAGGGGGGUUUCUUUUGGUAAAUCACCUCGUAAUAAUAUAAUAUGAUAUAUUUUACGCCGGUGACUACAUUAUAGUAUGAUGACGGUGGUGGCAGCGUCUUGUGCCGUACAAGAGCGCACGCCGCCGCCGACGGUAAAUAAAUUACCAUCGUUAUACGCAUAGAUCACGGCGCGACCGCGUCCGCGUCCCGCCGCGUAACUUCGGCCGGGCGAGGGUCAUUACGUACUGGAAUACGCACGUUGUAGUAGGUGUAGUAUUGUGUGACGGCGGCGGCGGCUACACAACACGGGCCUUGUUGUUCCACGGCCGCCUCGAAAAGUGGGACAUCGAUUUUCUUCACGUCGGAUACGGUCGCACUCACA